rnacentral:rRNA from 1 species
CCUACGGGUGGCAGCAGUGGGGGAUAUUGCACAAUGGGGGGAACCCUGAUGCAGCGACGCCGCGUGGGUGAAGGAGCGUUUCGGCGCGUAAAGCCCUAUCGGCAGGGAAGAAGGAGGACGGAACCUGACUAAGAAGCCCCGGCUAACUACGUGUCAGCAGCCGCGGUAAUACGUAGGGGGCUAGCGGUAUUCGGAAUUACUGGGCGUAAAGGGUGCGUAGGUGGUUUCUUAAGUAAGAGGUGAAAGGCUACGGCUCAACCGUAGUAAGCCUGUGAAACUGGGAAACUUGAGUGCAGGAGAGGAGAGUGGAAUUCCUGGUGUAGCGGUGAAAUGCGUAGAUAUUAGGAGGAACACCAGUUGCGAAGGCGGCUCUCUGGACUGUAACUGACACUGAGGCACGAAAGCGUGGGGAGCAAACAGGAUUAGAUACCCGAGUAGUC